rnacentral:rRNA from 1 species
GACGAACGCUGGCGGCGUGCUUAACACAUGCAAGUCGAACGAUGAACCCGGAGCUUGCUCCGGCGGAUUAGUGGCGAACGGGUGAGUAACACGUGAGUAACCUGCCCUUGACUCUGGGAUAACUGCUAGAAAUGGUAGCUAAUACCGGAUACGACCCUCGGUGGCAUCACCAGGGGGUGGAAAGAAUUUCGGUCAAGGAUGGACUCGCGGCCUAUCAGCUAGUUGGUGAGGUAACGGCUCACCAAGGCGACGACGGGUAGCCGGCCUGAGAGGGCGAACGGCCACACUGGGACUGAGACACGGCCCAGACUCCUACGGGAGGCAGCAGUGGGGAAUAUUGCACAAUGGGCGCAAGCCUGAUGCAGCAACGCCGCGUGAGGGAUGACGGCCUUCGGGUUGUAAACCUCUUUUAGUAGGGAAGAAGCGAAAGUGACGGUACCUGCAGAAAAAGCACCGGCUAACUACGUGCCAGCCGCCGCAGUAA